GGGGGAAGGAGAGGGAAGAGGUGAGAGAUGGAACUGUGUUUUUGUUGGCAAUUCAAGUAAGAACCAAGACAUCUCAGGAGCGUUCCCACGGAAUGUCCAAAUGCUCUGCCUUCCAGAAGCAGGUGCUGAUGUAUUUCGGGAACUCUGUGGACAUACUUAGCAGUCUAAAUCUAGAUUCCGGGUUGAAUUCCCAGCACUCAGUUCACCCAGAUCUGGCCUCCAGCAGCAGGACCAGAAGCAGCAGCGAGGAGAGGCAGAAGCAGCAGCCACCUGGGCACUCCUCACCAUCACAGAAGCGGCUCCCAGAUGGCUCUGUGGGCCCAGGCCCCUCUUCCUUCCAUUCAGAAAAACACACAGCAGUUAACUGCAUCCGUGUGUGCAAUUGAGAAGGAAAAAGCAAAAACCUGGCUCCGAAGCAGUCAGAAAUAGAAGUGGGAAAAGAAGCAAGUGAUGUGCGUUCUUGAGGUCCUCCGAAGAGAUGUCUUGGAGACAACAGAAAUAAAUGACCCUGUAAAUUUUCUUUAUCCUACUGGGCACCUUGACCAGAGCACCUGGAGCUGUGGCCUUGCACAGGUGUUGGGGAGGAACUCUUCUGGAUUAAACAUGGAAAACCCACCAACCACAGAGAUGCAAGCUUCAAGUGAGCGUAUCUGCGCUGCUAGUAUCCUAGCGGGGUGGGAAUCAGAAUGCAAUGACCUCGAUGUGUGUUAUUACAUAGGUAGAAGGUUCUAGAACUAUGCUGUAGCCAACCCCCAUGUGCAGCACUGUCUGGACUCUAGAAGAUGCUCUGAUUCAAGAGGAUGUAAAGAAAUUCUCUAAGCCGAUAAGAAAAAUAGAAGAAACCCAAAUGGGCAAUGAGUGCAUGGGAACUCACUCACCUCAGUGGAAAGGAGGGAAUGGCAAGCCAGCCCACUGAAGCCCACUGGGGACAUAGGACAAGUCUGCAAAGCAGAGACAGCCCCUCCAGGAAGAGCGACCAGGCCUUGAGAGGACAUGGCCUUAGGACCAGAUCCAGGGAAGACACAGUCACUAACCCCUGGCUCAUCUGGCAGGUGUGGGAAGCAGCCAGGCCCGUGGCUUCACCAGCUCCCCCCGAUCUCUGCCUUCAGCUGUCCUGCAGCCUGGGUCAGGCACCUAGGCAGCUUUAUGGCAGGCGGAGAUGCACCACCCACAUCCUCUUUCCAGGCAGGGCUUGCUGCCCUGGCUGUAGCGAGUGCGGCAGCAGGUGGCCUCCAGCUAUCAGCAACUUCAGAGAGCUGCCUUGCCUGAGGUCCCGUCCCUUCUGGGGAAGCUCCCAUCUGCCAGGGGGCUACAAAAGCACAGUGGACACCAUGAUGGGCAAUUCUGGCUGAUGGGAGCACCACCUGGUGGCUGAGGCAUUCUUGGGCCACAUAGCAGUUGACUGCCCUCUCCACCAUCUUUUCACAAGUGUUAAUCCCAAUAAACACCCAUCCUCUUC
rnacentral:lncRNA from 1 species